UACGUAGGGUGCGAGCGUUAAUCGGAAUUACUGGGCGUAAAGCGUGUGCAGGCGGUUUGUUAAGACAGGUGUGAAAUCCCCGGGCUUAACCUGGGAAUUGCGCUUGUUACUGGCAAGCUAGAGUGCGUCAGAGGGAGGUGGAAUUCCACGUGUAGCAGUGAAAUGCGUAGAGAUGUGGAGGAACACCGAUGGCGAAGGCAGCCUCCUGGGAUGACACUGAGGCUCAUACACGAAAGCGUGGGGAGCAAACAGG
rnacentral:rRNA from 1 species